rnacentral:rRNA from 1 species
GGCAAAAUGGUGCCGUAACUUCGGGAGAAGGCACGCUGACACGUAGGUGAAGUGAUUUACUCAUGGAGCUGAAGUCAGUCGAAGAUACCAGCUGGCUGCAACUGUUUAUUAAAAACACAGCACUGUGCAAACACGAAAGUGGACGUAUACGGUGUGACGCCUGCCCGGUGCCGGAAGGUUAAUUGAUGGGGUCAGCGCAAGCGAAGCUCCUGAUCGAAGCCCCGGUAAACGGCGGCCGUAACUAUAACGGUCCUAAGGUAGCGAAAUUCCUUGUCGGGUAAGUUCCGACCUGCACGAAUGGCGUAAUGAUGGCCAGGCUGUCUCCACCCGAGACUCAGUGAAAUUGAACUCGCUGUGAAGAUGCAGUGUACCCGCGGCAAGACGGAAAGACCCCGUGAACCUUUACUAUAGCUUGACACUGAACAUUGAGCCUUGAUGUGUAGGAUAGGUGGGAGGCUUUGAAGUGUGGACGCCAGUCUGCAUGGAGCCGACCUUGAAAUACCACCCUUUAAUGUUUGAUGUUCUAACGUGGACCCGUGAUCCGGGUUGCGGACAGUGUCUGGUGGGUAGUUUGACUGGGGCGGUCUCCUCCUAAAGAGUAACGGAGGAGCACGAAGGUUGGCUAAUCCUGGUCGGACAUCAGGAGGUUAGUGCAAUGGCAUAAGCCAGCUUGACUGCGAGCGUGACGGCGCGAGCAGGUGCGAAAGCAGGUCAUAGUGAUCCGGUGGUUCUGAAUGGAAGGGCCAUCGCUCAACGGAUAAAAGGUACUCCGGGGAUAACAGGCUGAUACCGCCCAAGAGUUCAUAUCGACGGCGGUGUUUGGCACCUCGAUGUCGGCUCAUCACAUCCUGGGGCUGAAGUAGGUCCCAAGGGUAUGGCUGUUCGCCAUUUAAAGUGGUACGCGAGCUGGGUUUAGAACGUCGUGAGACAGUUCGGUCCCUAUCUGCCGUGGGCGCUGGAGAACUGAGGGGGGCUGCUCCUAGUACGAGAGGACCGGAGUGGACGCAUCACUGGUGUUCGGGUUGUCAUGCCAAUGGCACUGCCCGGUAGCUAAAUGCGGAAGAGAUAAGUGCUGAAAGCAUCUAAGCACGAAACUUGCCCCGAGAUGAGUUCUCCCUGAGACUUUAGGUCUCCUGAAGGAACGUUGAAGACGACGACGUUGAUAGGCCGGGUGUGUAAGCGCAGCGAUGCGUUGAGCUAACCGGUACUAAUGAACCGUGAGGCUUAACCUUACA